UACGUAGGGUGCAAGCGUUGUCCGGAAUUAUUGGGCGUAAAGAGCUCGUAGGCGGCCUGUUGCGUCCGCUGUGAAAUCCCGGGGCUCAACCCCGGGCCUGCAGUGGAUACGGGCUGGCUAGAGGCAGCAGGGAGAAGCGGAAUUCCGUGUGUAGGCGUGGAAAUGCGCAGAUAUCAGAGGAACACCGGUGGCGAAGGCGGUCCCUGGC
rnacentral:rRNA from 1 species